rnacentral:rRNA from 1 species
GUGCCAGCCGCCGCGGUAAUACGGAGGGUGCAAGCGUUGUCCGGAAUCACUGGGCGUCAAGGGUGCGCAGGCGGGGCAGCAAGUCGGAGGUGAAAUCCCACGGCUCAACCGUGGAAGUGCCUUCGAAACUGCUGCUCUUGAGUCCCGGAGAGGCUGCCGGAAUUCGUGGUGUAGCGGUGAAAUGCGUAGAUAUCACGAGGAACACCAGAGGCGAAAGCGGGCAGCUGGACGGGUACUGACGCUCAGGCACGAAAGCGUGGGGAGCAAACAGGAUUAGAAACCCUAGUAGUCC